UCAGAUGAAUUCAACCACUAUCAAAAAGGCCAGCAUGUCAAAAACCAAAAGAAGCAAAAUAAGAGGUUGCAAACUUUCCAUCUUCAAACUUUGAAGAUAAAGCAAUUUUUCAGAUAAUGCCUAACCUUUAUCUGAAACAUAUUAGAUAACCAGAUGAGGUCUCGAAAUAGCACUUAAUAAGGUAAACAUCCACAUUACAUCUAGCAGCAACCACGAGUUCGCAAAUCAACAAACAUCAGGCAAAACUUAAAAACGACGGUUCCAGGAACAUAGGUCUAUAUCCUUGAAGAUAACUGGCUAUAGCAAAACGACUCAACGCCUCAGAAUCAGGCCUUGGCAGCAGCCUGGGCAGCGGCAUCCCGCUUCCUCUGCUCCUCAAUGAUGGUGAGCUUGAUACCCUUGCCCUUGGGGAGGCUCACCCACGGCUUGGUGCCCUUGCCGAUGGUGAACACGUUGCCCAGACGGGUGGCAAACUGGUGGCCCUGCGCAUCCUCAACGUGGAUGGUCUCGAAGGUUCCCUUAUGCUUCUCCCUGUUCUUGAUCACACCAACACGCCCAGUGUUGCGCCCACCAGUAACCAUGACCACAUUGCCGACGUCAAACUUGAUGAAGUCAACAAUCUUGUUGGUCUCCAGGUCGAGCUUGAUGGUGUCAUUGGCCUUGAUGAGUGGGUCUGGGUAGCGGAUGGUGCGGCCAUCAUAGGUGUUCAGGUAGGGGAUGCCCUUCUGGCCGAACUGGACAGACCUGACCUUGCAGAGCUUGAACUGCACAUGAAGGAAAGAAAGUCAGCAGAUGGAUAGAUAAUGGUAUAUACUACAUUUAUAUUUAUGGAUAAAACAGAUGACAAACUAGAACCUAUCCAGGCAGGAUCUGAAAACAAAAUGGCAUCCUAAGAAAAUGAAGACUGGAUUGCAACAGUUAAGCAUAGUGAACAAAUAGAACAGCAAAUAGACAACAGGGUGGUACAAUGCUAGGCAAGUAAGAUAGCAACAGCAAGGUCUUCACUGGAAGAGGAUAUCAAUGCAUACCAUAUACAAGUAGGUUUUAUAAGUAGAUUAAAGUUUCUAUAAGUAAAUUAUAAUCAGUUCCAGGAAUCAAAAGGCAUCAGGAAGAACAGCAUGAUAAUACAGAAAAGGGAUAGACCUAACCUUAGCAUCCUCAUCCCUGACAGAGUGAAGGCGGAAGCGACCCUUGGUGUCAUAAAGAAGCCUGUAGUUCUCACCAGUCUUGGGAAUGGAAAUGAUGUCUGGUAGACACCAAGUAAGGUAUCAGCAAUCAAAUAAUGUCAACAAUCUAUGCAGAAUGUCAAUUCACAUAAGAACAAAACACAUGUUACUAGAAGAUUAGAAGAUUAGAGCAUACCCAUGAACCCAGCAGGGUAGGUCUUGUCAGUGCGGACCUUUCCAUCAACCAUGAUAUGACGCUGCAUAAGGAUAGAUUGCACUUCACGGUAGGUGAGAGCAUAUUUCAGUCUGUUCCUCAGGAUGAGGAUCAGAGGCAGGCACUCCCUGGCCUUGUGAGGACCAGAUGAUGGCUUGGG
rnacentral:lncRNA from 1 species